AACAUGGGAGCCUAAGGGUGGGAGUCUAGGUCCUCAGUGCUCAAGCUGAUGAAAUCCAGCCGUGCACAAACUAACACGUGGCAGCUUGGUUGCCUUCCUCGGUGCUUGGCUAAAAGAUCCAUGGCUUGACACAUGAGGAGAUGGACGUAGCAAUGUCCGUUAGAAUCAGUAUCCAUGGUAAUAAGGAGAGCGAUACUAAAAUGUCCGCUCUCCCGCGGAGCUAGAGACCCAACCCGGGACCUUGUGCUUGCUAGCCAAGGCAUCUACCACCCAACUAGAUCUUCAACCUCCUCAAACAUCUAGGAGGCAACUUGAAGAAUGAAGAGGUUCCAGAGCCCCCGAGGAGAAGGAGUGUUCAAAAGGCAUGAAUUAAUGCAUGCGCCUUAGUUCCUGGAGUUCAACGUCGACCAGCAGGGGUUGCUAGAGAACGGGUCCAGGUUUUCUGUCUCUGCCGAGGCAACUUGAGUGAAAUACAAGUCCCCUGUGACAAGAUGCUUGGAUCAUUGGAACACUCCAUGCAGAACCCUCCACCAAUUUGCGACCUUUCUCCCGGAUGAAGGAGGAUUCUGGGCCAGAAAUGAUUCGAGGCUCAUAGCAGUCAGGAUUUCCCACACCCUUCCUUCUCUCUGCAGCUGGCACAGGAAAGGCAUGGACACAUUGAGAGGAGUCUAAGGUUGGCAAAUAAGGAAGCCCGCUGUGUGCCAGCUUGAUCAGACAGCAGCGAUUCCUUGGAGUGUUGCUCGGAAGAAUUCUGAAGCGAGAGCCAGACUUAAAAUAUGACUGAUUGCUGAUGUCCGCCACAAGUGUGGGAGCAAGCGCAUUUGUUCUGUGCCUUGGGUUUGUAAAUCAGUCCAUUAUUAUUUAAUUUUGCCCAGGACCCAAAUAUCAGUAUCUUUAUCAUUGCUAAGUGCUCUUCAGUAUGCAAGAGCACUCUUUAAAGUGCUCUUUACUCAGCAAGAAGGAAAGAAUAUGUAGGCUCACAAGGUUUAUAUCACUGCUAACUUCAGAUUCAUAGGUGCAUAUGGAUAGGGGUGUGGUCCAGUGCAUAAGGAGGCAUUGUACUGCAACUGCAGUUAAGAGGUAGAUGCCUGUCACAUGUUCCAGCUGCCUUAUGUGUAUGUGCAUACCCUGUGUGGUAAGGAAGCCCUAUUCCCUUGAAAGGGAUUAUUUCUAGCGUUAACUAUUUAUUAAACAACAUCACCCCAGAACAGCAGCCCCCAAAAGCUACUGUGUCAGAAACUUAGAUGCUCACCCCAAAUGUAAUAUAAACAUGUCCUGUUUUUGCAGAAUGCUAAGCCAUGUGUACAAAGACACAGGAGAGCCCCAUAGUACAUAAGCAGUAUUCUUUUUGUUUCUCUGUGUAGCUUUGUGCCUGUCCUGGAACUCACUCUAUAGCCCAGGCUGGCCUCGAACUCAUAGAGAUCCGCCUGCCUCUGCCUCCCGAGUGCUGGGAUUAAAUGCGUGUGUCGCCACCACCGCCCAGCUAGGCAUUACUCUUUACACAUCUAGUACACAUCAGAUUGUUUUGAAUAUCAUCUGGGCUUAGUGCUAAUUAUGAUUAAAUGUGAAUCUGGGAGAAAGUGAUGAGUAACAUCAGGGUGACUGAAUCUCCAAGAAACCACUACCAUGAAUUCCACUCAGGGGUUACCCACGCCAAAAGAGAUGAUAUAAUUAAAAUGUAGUACCUCAGAGCUGUUAGCAUUUGGUAGCUUCUGGGAAAGGGAAGAGUCACUUUUCUUUAAUUUUGUGACUCCUGGUAGGUUGACCACACAUCGGGACAGACCUCACUCUCGAGAAUAACUAACUAUAGGAACUGGGCUUAUGGGAGAGGAGUAAAGAAGAAGAAAUCUUAAAAGGGAUGGAAAAGUGGAGAGGGAGUGCAAAUGAGAAGGUCUGGGGGAGUAGAUGUAUUCAAAAUACAUCGUACAAAAUUCUGAAAGAAUUAACAAAAAGUCUUGCAAAAAGUCGCCGCAUCCUGACUCAGAGUCUUUAGAUCAUAACGCUUUAUGUCUUUGGUUGUCUGAUUACACUGUAUAAAAUUGACUUUACCUCACAAAAAGCCAUGUUUUUAAAACAACAAAAAUUGUUUAAACUAUAUUUUAGUUCUUUUAAUAGCAAAUGAGAAAGGAUAGCUGAACACUUUUCAACAAGAAGGUGUCUAAUUUAGUUAUGUAUUGCAAUAAAAAGUUACACUGUGUUGGUGUUCAAGCCUC